rnacentral:lncRNA from 1 species
GCAAUUGCAUUGGGUUUUUUAUUAUUUGUAUAGCGGGAUCACGCAAAUACGCAGCUUAUCUGGAGCUCUGAUCCACCAUUGAAGACUUGUCAGUGUCUAUUUAUCAUUGCCACUAAAUCAGUGAUAUAUGUACACAUACAUAUAUAUAUAUAUGUAAUUAUAUACAUGUAAGACUAAAAUUAUAAAGUACAUAUAUAAGACUAAAACUGGCAUUCAGCCUUUACUACAUCUUCAUACCCAAAUAUAAAAAAGAAGAUGUGGUAUGAUUGCCAAUGAGACAACUAUCCACAAAAGACCAAAAUGACACAAACAUUAACAAUUAUAGGUCACCCUACGGCCUUCAACAAUGAGCAAAACCCAUACCGCAUAUAUAGUCAGCUAUAAAAGGCCCCGAUAAGACAAUGUAAAAAAAAUGAAUGAAAAACAAAUAUGUAACACAUAAACAAACGACAACCACUGAAUUACAGGCUCCUGACUUGGGACAGGCACAUACAUAAAUAAUGUGGCGGGGUUAAACAUGUUAGCGGGAUCCCAACCCUCCCCAAAGUCAUUUUCAAAUUGGACUUCAUGAUAAAAUAAGAUUCUAUAUCUACUACCAAUGAAAAUGAAAUAUCCCUCUAAUAGACUAGC